rnacentral:rRNA from 1 species
GACGAACGCUGGCGGCGUGCUUAACACAUGCAAGUCGAGCGGUAAGGCCCUUUCGGGGGUACACGAGCGGCGAACGGGUGAGUAACACGUGGGUGACCUGCCCUCAGCUCUGGGAUAAGCCUGGGAAACCGGGUCUAAUACCGGAUAUGACUCCAUGACGCAUGUUGUGGGGUGGAAAGCCUUGUGCGGCUGAGGAUGGGCCCGCGGCCUAUCAGCUUGUUGGUGGGGUGAUGGCCUACCAAGGCGGCGACGGGUAGCCGGCCUGAGAGGGCGACCGGCCACACUGGGACUGAGACACGGCCCAGACUCCUACGGGAGGCAGCAGUGGGGAAUCUUGCGCAAUGGGCGAAAGCCUGACGCAGCGACGCCGCGUGAGGGAUGACGGCCU